rnacentral:lncRNA from 10 species
UGAGCCCUGCGCACGCGGGAAGGGCUGCCGGAGGCGCCCGUAGGGAGGCGCGCGCGCGGGCGGCUCAGGGCCCGCGUUCCUCUCCCUCCCGCCUACCGCCACUUUCCCGCCCUGUGUGCGCCCCCACCCCCACCACCAUCUUCCCACCCUCAGCGCGGGCGCCCCGCGGUGACGGCCCAGGGGCCGGACGCCUGGAACGCAACUCCAGGCAGCUCGCCCCCUAGCUACAUCCGUCACCUGACACGGCCCUACCAGGAACAGCCGCGCUCCCGCGGAUUCUGGUGCUGCUCGCGUCCCCGCUCCCCUAUUCCCCUUAUUUUAUUCCUGGCUCCCCUCGUCGAAAGUCUUCCAUUCUUCAAACUAGAUUAUUUAAAAAUGAAAAAGGAAGAAAGGAAAGCGAGGUCAUCUCAUUGCUCUAUCCGCCAAUCAGGAGGCUGAAUGUCAGUUUUGAACUAAAAGCCGCUCCGCUCCUCUUCUAGAUUUGGAAAACAAGCGAAAUUAAACUAAACCGCUGCACGCCUCUGACGCGACAUCUGGACACGGCGCGGCGCUGGCGCUGCCGGAGCUGUCGACCCGGCCUGGCGCCGGACUAGUGUCCCUUUUGAUGAGAAGAAUAAGCCUCAUUCUGAUUCAACAGCAGAGAUCAAAGAAAAGACUUCUGUUUUCUGGCCACCAGAUAUAUGUUAUCUGUGCUUAAAGAAUUGAAAAACACACAUCAAAGGAGAAUUUUCUUGGAAAGAGAGGGUUCAAGCAUCACUGUUAGGUGUGCUGGAAUCCUUUCCCGAGUCAGUACUGCUUUCUAGAAGAAAACCGGGGAGAUCUAUUUGGAAUGUAUCUAACUCCAAAGAAACCAUCAGAGGUAACAGUAGAGACGGGGUUUCACCAUGUUGGCCAGACUGGUCUUGAACUCUCGACCUCGUGAUUCGCCCGCCUCGGCCUCCCAAAGUGCUGGGAUUACAGGUGUGAGACACCACACCCGGCGGAUAGAGAGAAUUUUGACAGGCUUUGGUAUCAGGAUGAUUCUGGCCUCAUAAAAUGAGUUGGGGAGAAUUCCCUCUUUUUCUAUUGAAUGGAAUAGUUUCAGAAGGAAUGGUACCAGCUCCUCUUUGUACCUCUGGUAGAAUUCGGCUGUGAAUCCAUCUGGUCCUGGACUUUUUUUGGUUGGUACCAGAGAUAUAAUAAUGAGAAACAGACAUGCUCCCUCCCCUCAUUGAGGUUACAGCUUAGUGUGGAGACACACAGAUGCCUAACGCACUAUGGUAUGGAAGGUGCUAUGGACACAGUGCUCAAAUCCAUGAUCUACAUAGGUGGAGAACUUCAGUAGAGGAAGUGGCAGGAAUUUGGGAAUGAGGAGCACAGUGAUUAAACUGGGGCCAUUCAUAUGAGAGUUUAAGAACUCAGACCAGUGACUUAGAUUGGCUUCUCUCACAUGGCAAGAAACAUUGCUGCUAGCACUUCCCGAGUUCUACGUUCUACAACAUCCACCACUGGAUCUUAACAUAGACGUAAGAUCAAAUGCAAUAGCAUGUCAAACAAUGUGUAACUCCAGUUAUACAAACAUUACUGUAUCUCAUUGGGGAUACGAAGCUCUACACACUUGAAGAUGGUGAAGGAAUAUAAAAAUCUAUGUCUCACAGUCCAGACUUGGAGUACAAGUAAUAAGAAGAAUAAAACUUAAUCCCUUAAGUAGAUUCACCAUAAGUUAGCUCAGAGCAAUUCCAGUGCAAGUAUGGUCUGUGAUCCAGUAGUAUCUUACAGACAGCAAGUUGAACAUUGUGGGAUGCAUGAGCUAUUGAGGCCUUUGCAGCUUUCUGCUACAUGGAGGCUAGGGCCAGAGUCAAGAUUUAUGCUUUGCAGCACACUGGUCAGCUGUUUUUGCAAAUCAGAUUAAAUGAUUUUUAAAUGAGGCUGAGAGCAUGGGAGAUACUAAUGUGUGUUUCCUUGUGAGCUACUGCAUAAGUUAGGAAAUUGAAAUACAGAAAGAUGAAAAGUGAUUUGCCCAAGCAUAUAGAUCAAAGCUGUGGCAGAACCAGGACUGGAACCUAUAUCUCUCUACUAAUGGUUUUUUUAAAAAAAUAACCUUGUUUCAAAAAUAUUAAAAAGUCACAAGAAAGGUAAACAUGUGGAUAAACAAAAUGAAGAAAAUAAAAAUUAUCCAGUAAUAACAUAUUGGCAUAUGUCUUUCUGGUAUAUUUUCCUGUGUUGUCAUCAUUAUCAUCUCCAUCAUCAUUAUAUCCAUCAUUAUCAUCAU